UGGUAUAUCCUGCAGGAGGAGGGAUUUUUUCAGUCAAUGACAAAUAUGGGACUAACAUUGUGGACAUAAAUGUGAGGUCAUGUGACUGUAGGAGAUGGCAGCUAACAGGUAUACCCUGCUGCCAUGCCAUUGCAUGUUUCAGGCAUGACGAUAUCAAGCCAGAAACAAUGGUGCAUGAGUGCUAUUCAAUUGCAACAUCAUGGAGGCAUAUGGCUAUAACAUAUGGCCUGUGAGAGACAAAAUACAAUGGGAAAAAAUGAAUGGGGUCGAUGUGCAGCCACCUAUCUAUGAAAAGAAGGUAGGGAGGCCUGCAAAGAAUAGAAAGAAAAAUCCAAUUGAAUUAAAAGGUGGCACCAAACUUAGCAAGCACGGAGUGACAAUGCAUUGCAGUGCUUGUGGAUCAUCCACACACAAUAAGAGAACAUGCCACAAAUAUCCAGAUAAGAUAAAUAUGCCUAAUCCAGAAGAAGAAUAGGAAGAAUAUGAUGACCCAAGCAUACUAGAGAAGAUUAUGCCAGCUAGACUGAACAAUGAACUAGAUCCGAGUGAAAAUGCUGACACUACGGUGUUUAAUCUUCUACGUCAGGAAAACAUAGGACGGUCAGCAAUGCAGCCACGGGGUCCGUGGCCGGAUGAAAAUAUGUUUGUAGCUAUGGAAAGGGAUAACAUACCUCCACAAAGGCUUACUACAGCAAUGAAUAUAGGUAGAGGCCGAGCUACAAGUACAAGGUCAAGAAAAAGAAAGGCAAAGACUACAACAGAUGAUGAACAUCCUGCAGAAUGCAGUGGUACUGCAUGGGUAAGAGGAAGGUCAGGAGUACGUACUGGCAGAAAAGGAGCCAGGGGAGGAGGACGUGGUAGGAGCACAUGAUUCAAGAGUAGUUUUUUUAGUUCAUUCAUCAGAUAUAAAAUACAUUAUCUUGGUUGUUAAAUUCAGUCAAUAAUUGUGUUAGACCAUUCAAACGCAUUCUGUAUUGCACACAUUUUAUAUUUAUGAACACAAAUAGUUUGGAA